UACGUAGGGACCGAGCGUUGUCCGGAUUCAUUGGGCGUAAAGAGCUCGUAGGCGGCUGUUCAAGUCGAACGUGAAAACUCGGGGCUCAACUCCGAGCCUGCGUUCGAUACUGGAUGGCUAGAGUCUGGUAGGGGGAUCUGGAAUUCCUGGUGUAGCGGUGGAAUGCGCAGAUAUCAGGAAGAACACCCGUGGCGAAAGCGGCUCUCUGGAACGGUACUGACGCUGAGACGCGAAAGCCAGGGGAGCAAACGGG
rnacentral:rRNA from 1 species